CAGAAUAUAUAAAGAACUCUUAUAACUCAAUAAUAAGAAAAAACUCUAUUGUUUUGUGGGAGUUUUUUGUGU
rnacentral:miRNA from 1 species